rnacentral:rRNA from 1 species
AACUUUCAAUAACGGAUCUCUUGGUUCUCACAUCGGUGAAGAACGCAGCGAAAUGCGAUAAGUAAUGUGAAUUGCAGAAUUCAGUGAAUCAUCGAAUCUUUGAACGCAGAUUGCGCCCUUUGGUAUUCCGAAGGGCAUGCCUGUUUGAGUGUCU